UACGUAGGGUGCAAGCGUUGUCCGGAAUUAUUGGGCGUAAAGAGCUCGUAGGCGGUCUGUCACGUCGGCUGUGAAAUCCCGAGGCUCAACCUCGGGUCUGCAGUCGAUACGGGCAAACUAGAGUAUUGCAGGGGAGACUGGAAUUCCUGGUGUAGCGGUGAAAUGCGCAGAUAUCAGGAGGAACACCGGUGGCGAAGGCGGUUCUCUGGGCAUGUCCUGACGCUGAGGAGCGAAAGUGUGGGGAGCGAACAGG
rnacentral:rRNA from 1 species